rnacentral:rRNA from 1 species
AGAGUUUGAUCANGGCUCAGGAUGAACGCUAGCGACAGGCUUAACACAUGCAAGUCGAGGGGCAGCAUGAUUUUGUAGCUAAUACAGAUUGAUGGCGACCGGCGCACGGGUGAGUAACGCGUAUGCAACUUACCUAUCAGAGGGGGAUAGCCCGGCGAAAGUCGGAUUAAUACCCCAUAAAACAGGGGUCCCGCAUGGGAAUAUUUGUUAAAGAUUCAUCGCUGAUAGAUAGGCAUGCGUUCCAUUAGGCAGUUGGCGGGGUAACGGCCCACCAAACCGACGAUGGAUAGGGGUUCUGAGAGGAAGGCCCCCCACAUUGGUACUGAGACACGGACCGAACUCCUACGGGAGGCAGCA